UCCGUGGUGGCUCAGACGGUAAAGCGUCUGCCUGCAAUGCAGGAGGCCCAGGUUCGAUCCUUGGGUCAGGAA
rnacentral:tRNA from 1 species